CUACGGGUGGCUGCAGUGGGGAAUAUUGCACAAUGGGCGAAAGCCUGAUGCAGCAACGCCGCGUGAGCGAUGAAGGUCUUCGGAUCGUAAAGCUCUGUCCUUGGGGAAGAAACAAAUGACGGUACCCAUGGAGGAAGCCCCGGCUAACUACGUGCCAGCAGCCGCGGUAAUACGUAGGGGGCAAGCGUUAUCCGGAAUUAUUGGGCGUAAAGAGUGCGUAGGUGGUUACCUAAGCAGGGGGUGAAAGGCAAAAGCUUAACUAUUGUCAGCCCCCUGAACUGGGCUACUUGAGUGCAGGAGAGGAAAGCGGAAUUCCUAGUGUAGCGGUGAAAUGCGUAGAUAUUAGGAGGAACACCAGUGGCGAAGGCGGCUUUCUGGACUGUUACUGACACUGAGGCACGAAAGUGUGGGGAGCAAACAGGAUUAGAUACCCUAGUAGUC
rnacentral:rRNA from 1 species